CCUUCCUAGGGCUUUUCAUUACCUCCUCCUGUGGCCAGAGGUUGAGGUCUCUUCUGUGACAAAGUGAAAUCUGCAGCAAACGCUCAUCUCACACACACACAGCCCUUCCCCAAGCUCCUGUCUCUCUCCCCUGCAUCUCCCCCCGGCACUGCUCCCUCCGUUCUUCCCCUUCUCCACUCUGCUCUAUGCCCCAAGAGGCUGACCUCUACAGACUGUAUCAACGGACAUCCUUGUCCUCGGGCUUCCAGGGUCACCACCUCGGCUGACUGUGUUGCUUGACCAAAGGCCCUGUCCACAUAGUCCACACAAACCUCUCCCUGAGUUCUGCUAACAUCCUUCCUUCCCCUUUCCCCGUCAGGUCAGGGGGAUCUGGAGAUGUCUCACAGAAACGCUAAAUCACCCGUGCAUGGGAGGCUUCUGUGGAUUGGAGCACAAUCUUGCAGGAGUCAGCUCUAAGGCCUUCCCUGCCCUCCUCCAGCAGCGGAGGAAGACGGCGCCUUCUCGUUACCCUGGCAACCGUCAGCGGACCCUGUCACCCCGGCAACUGUCCGAGGCCUCCCGUCAGCCCUCUCCUGGGCCUCUUCGGUCACCCAGACAACUGCUACCCAUUCCGGUUAACCAUCAGCCCUUUCCCCGUCACCCUGGCAACGGUCACCAGACCCACCGCCCCCCCUGGACUCACGGUCCUCAUCCUGCACGCAGGCCUCCUCGCCCCAAACCUUCGCCCCAAGCUGAGGUCCCGGGUUCCCUCCUCCUCUCGCCCAUUUCCCCGGCCCCAGAGGGGCACUGCUCCCACCCUGGCGGGGGGCGGGAUGGGUAGGGCCCUGGGGGUUCCGGCUCUUGUCAGGGCUGUUGGACCGUCCGGUCCUGAAGCUGUGCGCAGCCCUGAGCCUGUCUCCUCACUCUCGCUCUUGCGUGGGACUGUUCAGCCGCUACAGGGAGCUUCUCAAAAUGCAAACCAUGUCCCUCCCCUGCUGAAAACCCUCCCUGGCUUCCCUUGAGAAUCAAAUCCAAACUCUUCGAAGCCCCUGGCGGUCUGGCUGUGGCCUCUUCUUCCACACGCCUCCCCCUCUCGCUCUGCUGCAGCAGGCACUAAUCUCCACGCUGUUACUCCAGUAGCCCAAGCUUAUUCCAGCCUCUGACCUUCCUAUUUACUGCUUCCCACUCCCUGAAAGGUCUGUACCCCAGGUAGGGAAGCCUUUCCUGAGCCCUGUCACACACCUGCAUAGCUCUCUCUGCCUCUUCUCAGUUAAUUCCAGAAUGGGGGCUUUGCCCUUGUUCGCACCCUAUCCCUAGGGCCUAGAACAGCUCCUGACACAUACGAUGAGUGAAAGGAUGUUACGUUGGGGACAAGGGAGGACAGAGCGGGUGACCAGCAGGCAGGCUUUGGCCAGGCAGGCCCAUCCCAGAGAUAAGAGAAUGUAUUUCUGAGGUCUGCUGGGUCCCCAGACUGAUUUAUCACACUGCUGCAAGUCAUGACAGUGUUCCCAGAGGCCAGGAAAACGCUAGGGAGAUAGAAGUUACUGCUGUGACCAGCCUGGGGCUGGGUGGUUCAUCUUCAGCUUGUAUGGCCCUCACUUGGAGGCUGGAGCCAGGAGUCCCCAGAAAGAAUCAGCAGCAACUAUGGUUAAUUUGGAACAGAAGAUUCCGGGAACUGGAGAGACAGGCCUCAGACCCCAGAUGGCUAUUCAGGGAGCUGGUCCCUUCCUGUGCCGAGUCCAGAAUCUCACAUAUCCUAACAGAGCCAAGAGCUGUUUUUCCAGGGAUCUUUCCCAGGCAGUGGCGAGAGAACUUGACCUCAUAAGGCCUGGAGUCAUGACCAGGAGGGAGAUCAUGGGAGCUGCCCAGGGCCUGGCUGGAGAGGAGUCUGGACAUCCACCUGCCUGCCCAUGAUGGUCCUCCCUUGGUGAGCUGUCAGGAGCCAGCCCCCUACUCUUAAGCUAGGAAUACCCUCAUCAGCACUGUCCAACAGAACUUUCUACUCUGAUUCAAUGCAGCCCUUGAAAUAUGGCUAGUGUGACUGAGGAACUGAAUUUUUCAUCGUAUUUAAUUUUAAUUAAUUGGCAUUUAA